UGGAGCUUGCUCCAUGAUCUUAGCGGCGGACGGGUGAGUAACACGUGGGCAACCUGCCCUGCAGAUCGGGAUAACUCCGGGAAACCGGUGCUAAUACCGAAUAGUUUGCGGCCUCUCAUGAGGCUGCACGGAAAGACGGUUUCGGCUGUCACUGCAGGAUGGGCCCGCGGCGCAUUAGCUAGUUGGUGAGGUAACGGCUCACCAAGGCCACGAUGCGUAGCCGACCUGAGAGGGUGAUCGGCCACACUGGGACUGAGACACGGCCCAGACUCCUACGGGAGGCAGCAGUAGGGAAUCUUCCGCAAUGGACGAAAGUCUGACGGAGCAACGCCGCGUGAGUGAAGAAGGUUUUCGGAUCGUAAAACUCUGUUGUGAGGGAAGAACAAGUACCAAGUAACUACUGGUACCUUGACGGUACCUCACCAGAAAGCCACGGCUAACUACGUGCCAGCAGCCGCGGUAAUACGUAGGUGGCAAGCGUUGUCCGGAAUUAUUGGGCGUAAAGCGCGCGCAGGCGGUCCUUUAAGUCUGAUGUGAAAGCCCACGGCUCAACCGUGGAGGGUCAUUGGAAACUGGGGGACUUGAGUGCAGAAGAGGAAAGUGGAAUUCCACGUGUAGCGGUGAAAUGCGUAGAGAUGUGGAGGAACACCAGUGGCGAAGGCGACUUUCUGGUCUGUAACUGACGCUGAGGCGCG
rnacentral:rRNA from 1 species